CCUGGUUGAUCCUGCCAGUAGUCAUAUGCUUGUCUCAAAGAUUAAGCCAUGCAUGUGUAAGCACACACUGUUUUAAAAGUGAAGCCGCGAAUGGCUCAUUACAACAGCCACAGUUUAUUAGAACUUACAAUCAUGGAUAACUGUGGUAAUUCUAGAGCUAAUACACGCACAAAAACUUCAACUGAAUUGGUUGAAGUGCUUUUAUUAGAACAAAAACCGAACGGCGUUUGAUGAAUGUUGAACGUCGAAACUGUUUGGUGAAUCUGAAUAACUAUUUCUGAUCGCAUGGUCUAGCACCGGCGACAUCACUUUCAAGUGUCUGCCUUAUCAACCUUCGAUGGUAGUCUAUGCGACUACCAUGGUGAUAACGGGUAACGGAGAAUCAGGGUUCGACUCCGGAGAGGGAGCCUGAGAAACGGCUACCACAUCCAAGGAAGGCAGCAGGCGCGCAAAUUACCCACUCCCAGCUUGGGGAGGUAGUGACGAAAAAUAACGAGACGAUUCUCGUUUGAGAAACGUUAUCGAAAUGAGUACGCUUUACACACGCUAACGAGUAGCAAUUGGAGGGCAAGUCUGGUGCCAGCAGCCGCGGUAAUUCCAGCUCCAAUAGCGUAUAUUAAAGUUGCUGCGGUUAAAACGCUCGUAGUUGAAUUGUGGUCUUAGACAACAGUCCCCCUACAUAGGUGUGGCACGGUUGCUCGAGAUCUUCAUUCGUGGUUGCUGUUGUUGCUCUUCAUUGAGUGUCAAUGGUGCCUCGAGAUUUUACUUUGAAAAAAUUAGAGUGCUCAAAGCAGGUUGUGAUGCCUGAAUAAUGGUGCAUGGAAUAAUAGAAUACGAUCUCGGUUCUAUUUUGUUGGUUUUCGAACCGGAGAUAAUGAUUGAAAGGAACAGACGGGGGCAUUCGUAUUGCUGCGUUAGAGGUGAAAUUCUUGGAUCGCAGCAAGAUGAACAAUUGCGAAAGCAUUUGCCAAGAAUGUUUUCAUUAAUCAAGAACGAAAGUUAGAGGUUCGAAGGCGAUCAGAUACCGCCCUAGUUCUAACGGUAAACUAUGCCAACCAGCGAUUCGCCGAAGUUCAUUUAAGACUCGGCGAGCAGCUUCCGGGAAACCAAAGUGUUUCGGUUCCGGGGGAAGUAUGGUUGCAAAGCUGAAACUUAAAGGAAUUGACGGAAGGGCACCACCAGGAGUGGAGCCUGCGGCUUAAUUUGACCCAACACGGGAAAACUCGCUCUUUCUUGAUUCAGUGGGUAGUGGUGCAUGGCCGUUCUUAGUUGGUGGAGCGAUUUGUCUGGUUAAUUCCGAUAACGAACGAGACUCUACCCUAUUAAAUAGUGACAGUAUUGUAUUUUUUGUGCUGAUCACUUCUUAGAGGGACUGGCAAAUUGAAAGCUGCACGAAAAAGAGCAAUAACAGGUCUGUGAUGCCCUUCGAUGUCCGGGGCUGCACGCGCGCUACAAUGAAAGCGUCAACGUGAGUUACGUCCUUACCUGAAAAGGUUUGGCAAUCGAAUGAAACGUUUUCUUGAAUGGAAUAGGGAAUUGCAAUUGUUUCCCUUGAACGAGGAAUUCCCAGUAAGCGUGAGUCAUUAGCUCGCGUUGAUUACGUCCCUGCCCUUUGUACACACCGCCCGUCGCUACUACCGAUUGGAUGAUUUAGUGAGGUGUUUUGACUGGCGCCAGUAGUCGGAUAUGUAUUCGGCUUCGCGCCGGGAAAUUUCCCAAACCAAAUCAUCUAGAGGAAGUAAAAGUCGUAACAAGGUUUCCGUAGGUGAACCUGCGGAAG
rnacentral:rRNA from 1 species